UGCCCAGCAACUACUAUCCCUACCUCCUCGUGGUACUGGCCGGGGUACGAGUAACCUUGGGGAAGAUCGGGUAACCAACCCCCGGUGGGAACUUUGGUCGUAUGCUGACAGGGAAGG
rfam:Aedes aegypti strain Liverpool supercont1.63 genomic scaffold, whole genome shotgun sequence.